rnacentral:rRNA from 1 species
UACGAAGGGAGCUAGCGUUGUUCGGAAUCACUGGGCGUAAAGCGCACGUAGGCGGAUGUGUCAGUCAGGGGUGAAAUCCCGGAGCUCAACUUCGGAACUGCCUUUGAUACAGCACGUCUUGAGUCCGAUAGAGGUGGGUGGAAUUCCUAGUGUAGAGGUGAAAUGCGCAGAUAUCGGGAAGAACACCCGUGGCGAAGGCGGCUCUCUGGGACGGUACUGACGCUGAGACGCGAAAGCGUGGGGAGCGAACAGG